CCUACGGGUGGCUGCAGUGAGGAAUAUUCGUCAAUGGGCGCGAGCCUGAACCAGCAAAGUAGCGUGAAGGAUGACUGCCCUACGGGCUGUAAACUUCUUUUAUAAAGGAAUAAAGUGAGGCACGUGUGCCUUUUUGUAUGUACUUUAUGAAUAAGGAUCGGCUAACUCCGUGCCAGCAGCCGCGGUAAUACGGAGGAUCCGAGCGUUAUCCGGAUUUAUUGGGUUUAAAGGGAGCGUAGAUGGGUUGUUAAGUCAGUUGUGAAAGUUUGCGGCUCAACCGUAAAAUUGCAAUUGAAACUGGCAGACUUGAGUGCAGAUGAGGUAGGCGGAAUUCGUGGUGUAGCGGUGAAAUGCUUAGAUAUCACGAAGAACACCGAUUGCGAAGGCAGCCUACUAAUCUGCCACUGACAUUGAUGCUCGAAAGUGUGGGUAUCAAACAGGAUUAGAUACCCGGGUAGUC
rnacentral:rRNA from 1 species